rnacentral:rRNA from 1 species
CAGUCGCCGCGGUAAUACGUAGGUGGCAAGCGUUGUCCGGAAUUAUUGGGCGUAAAGGGCUCGCAGGCGGUUUCUUAAGUCUGAUGUGAAAGCCCCCGGCUCAACCGGGGAGGGUCAUUGGAAACUGGGAAACUUGAGUGCAGAAGAGGAGAGUGGAAUUCCACGUGUAGCGGUGAAAUGCGUAGAGAUGUGGAGGAACACCAGUGGCGAAGGCGACUCUCUGGUCUGUAACUGACGCUGAGGAGCGAAAGCGUGGGGAGCGAACAGGAUUAGAUACCCCUGUAGUCCUGUCUCUUAUACA